rnacentral:rRNA from 1 species
GUGGGGAAUCUUAGACAAUGGGCGCAAGCCUGAUCUAGCCAUGCCGCGUGAGCGAUGAAGGCCUUAGGGUUGUAAAGCUCUUUCGUGGGGGAAGAUAAUGACUGUACCCCAAGAAGAAGCCCCGGCUAACGCCGUGCCAGCAGCCGCGGUAAUACGGAGGGGGCGAGCGUUGUUCGGAAUUACUGGGCGUAAAGCGCACGUAGGCGGACCAGAAAGUCAGAGGUGAAAGCCCGGGGCGCAACCCCGGAACUGCCUUUGAAACUCCUGGUCUUGAGGUCGAGAGAGGUGGGUGGAAUUCCGAGUGUAGAGGUGAAAUUCGUAGAUAUUCGGAGGAACACCAGUGGCGAAGGCGGCCCACUGGCUCGAUACUGACGCUCAUGCACGAAAGCGUGGGGAGCAAACAGGAUUAGAUACCCUGGUAGUCC